CCUACGGGAGGCUGCAGUCGAGAAUCAUGCACAAUGGGGGAAACCCUGAUGGAGCGACGCCGCGUGGGGGAAUGAAGGUCUGCGGAUUGUAAACCCCUGUCAUGUGGGAGCAAAUUAAAAAGAUAGUACCACAAGAGGAAGAGACGGCUAACUCUGUGCCAGCAGCCGCGGUAAUACAGAGGUCUCAAGCGUUGUUCGGAAUCACUGGGCGUAAAGCGUGCGUAGGCUGGUUCGCAAGUCGUGUGUGAAAGGCGCGGGCCCAACCCGCGGACGGCACAUGAUACUGCGAGACUAGAGUAAUGGAGGGGGAACCGGAAUUCUCGGUGUAGCUGUGAAAUGCGUAGAUAUCGAGAGGAACACUCGUGGCGAAGGCGGGUUCCUGGACAUUAACUGACGCUGAGGCACGAAGGCCAGGGGAGCGAAAGGGAUUAGAUACCCUUGUAGUC
rnacentral:rRNA from 1 species